rnacentral:rRNA from 1 species
GCCUACGGGAGGCAGCAGUGGGGGAUAUUGCACAAUGGGGGAAACCCUGAUGCAGCGACGCCGCGUGGGCGAAGAAGUAUUUCGGUAUGUAAAGCCCUAUCAGCAGGGAAGAAGAAAUGACGGUACCUGACUAAGAAGCCCCGGCUAACUACGUGCCAGCAGCCGCGGUAAUACGUAGGGGGCAAGCGUUAUCCGGAUUUACUGGGUGUAAAGGGAGCGUAGACGGCGAUGCAAGUCUGAAGUGAAAGGCGGGGGCCCAACCCCCGGACUGCUUUGGAAACUGUAUAGCUGGAGUGCAGGAGAGG